UAAUGGCCUACCAAGGCGACGACGGGUAGCCGGCCUGAGAGGGCGACCGGCCACACUGGGGCUGAGACACGGACCAUACUCCUACGGGAGGCAGCAGUGGGGAAUCUUGCGCAAUGGGCGAAAGCCUGACGCAACGCCGCCGCGUGGGGGAAGACGGCCUUCGGGUUGUAAACCCCUUUCAGUUGGGACGAAGCUCCGUCGGUGAACAGCCGGCUGGAGUGACGGUACCUUCAGAAGAAGCCCCUGCUAACUACGUGCCAGCAGCCGCGGUAAUACGUAGGGGGCAAGCGUUGUCCGGAAUCAUUGGGCGUAAAGAGCGUGUCGGCUGCUCGGUUAGUCCGCUGUGAAAGUCCAGGGCUCAACCCUGGGAUGCCGGUGGCAACUGUCGAGCUAGAAUCCGGAAGAGGCGAGUGGUAAUUCCUGUUGUAGCGGAGUGAUG
rnacentral:rRNA from 1 species